rnacentral:pre_miRNA from 1 species
UAUAAUGUUUGACUCUUCGUCUUAUUAAAAAAAAUUAUGAUUAAUAAUUUUAUUUUUAUUAGAUGAUAAAGCAUGAAUAGUAUUGUAUGUGUAACUAAUUUUUAAAAUUUUUUAAUUUUUUUUAAAUAAGACGGAUGGUCAAACGCUCGACAUAAAAACCGA